rnacentral:rRNA from 1 species
AGCUCCAGUAGCGUAUAUUAAAGUUGUUGCAGUUAAAAAGCUCGUAGUUGAAUUUCUGGCGUUAACUUGCCCGGUCGGCCUCGAAUGAGUGUCAGUGCCGGUUGCAGGUUCGUCAUCCUUCUAGAUGUCUGCCUGCCUUUCAUUAGGUUUGGUUAGGGUCUAGAUCUUUUACUUUGAAAAAAUUAGAGUGUUUAAAGCAGGCUUUGCGCUAUGAAUACAUUAGCAUGGAAUAAUAAUAUAGGACUUUGGUCUUUGUUAUUGGUUUCUGACUGAAGUAAUGAUUGAUAGGGAUAGUUGGGGGUGCUAGUAUUGAAUGGCCAGAGGUGAAAUUCAUGGAUUCAUUCAAGACUAACUAAUGCGAAAGCAUUCACCAAGGAUAUCUUCUUUGAUCAAGAACGAA